rnacentral:rRNA from 1 species
AUGGUGACAAAAAUGGAUAGCUAUCAAUAUUGGGGUUUUAUUUCAGCUGAUAUGGAUGGACUACUUGAGAUUUGUUUUUGGAAAAUAUGGGAACUACAUUUUCCUACAAGUUUUCAGUGCAUGCUUGGAGAAGUGGAUAAAAUUUUAGAGGAAAUAGGUAAAAUGAGCAAGAGGCAUGAGCAGAAAGGAGAACGCCUCAGGGACGACGCCGCAUGUAUUGCCUCUGGAGGAGUUGCAGUGGCCGGCCAUCGUGUUGGGGAAGCAGAGAGGAUUUCGAAACGCUUACAAGGCCUAGAGGAGGAUGGUCGUGAGCAGUUUUGUGGGGCACUUGUCAACGUAAGAGUGUAA